rnacentral:lncRNA from 1 species
AUUGCACUCCAGCCUGCGCAAGAAGAGCGAAACUCUGUCUCAAAAAAAAAAAAAAAAAAAAAGUGGACAAAAUGUAGUCCUAGGUCCUUGCAUUUGGCACAUUCAAGUUUGAUAAUACCAUUAGUUAUUGAGUAUUGUUGACCAGGCAUCGUGCUCCAUCAUUAAACACAUUAUCUGGUUUAUCUUUACAACAGGCUAAUGAGUUAGGUAUUAUGCCCCUCAUUGCCAAAAUUAGGAAGGAAACUAAGACCCAGAAGGAAUGAUUUUCAAGGCCACACAAUAAAUUGCAGAAUUUGGUUUCCAAGUCAGUCUGAAUUCAAGGUCCAUGUUCCUAACCACAGUGUUUUGCUGCAAACAAACACAGUUCACUGGGAUAAGUGCAGUUAUGGUGGCUUGUACAAAAUGUUCUGUGGUAGUACAGGCAGGGAGUGACAGCUUUAGCCUGCUAAACAGUCAAGACAGGCAUCACAUUCAAGUAACGUUAGAGCUGAGCCUGAAGGAUGGACAGGAUUUUGCAAGUGGAGGUGGGGAGAAGAGUUUUCUGGGCAGAGAGAACUGCGUACAAAGACAGAAGACCCUGAAAGCACAGAGCUUGUAGUUGGGGGCCCCUGAGCAUCUGGAAGAGAGGACAGGAAAUGAGGCAGGAACAGCUGAAGAGCAUCUUCUCCAGAGAUUCUUAGAUUGGCGGUGCUGGACAGCAAGUGACCAGAAGAGAAACAAGUGGUAACCCAACCUGCAUGAAGAAAAUUCAGUAGAACCUUGCUGGUGUAGAGAAGAUGGCACAAAGAAGAGUGAGAACACUUUUAUGAAAGGCUUAGGAAAUGUUGAAGUUUUCCAGUUUUCUUCCUAUGUGAAGGAACAUAGUGAAGGGGGAAAGGCCCCUUUUUUGCACAUACCUGUGGAGGGUAACGCUGUGUGGGUGCAUUUAGCCCUAAUCUCUGCCGUGGAUCAGGAUCGUUGGUUGUGGAGGAGGAAGAAGAGAGGGAAAGGCUUGAAUACUUACAAAAGAUUUUGAGAGCCUAAAUGAUGAAAGCUAGCAGUUCUACAGUGUUUACUAAGUGCAAGAAACUGUUGUAAGAGUUUUGCAUAUAUUAACUCCUUUGAUUCGAUUCUAAUGACCCUAUGAGGUAGGUGCUAUUAUUAUCAUCUCCAUUUCACAGAGAAGGAAAUUGAGACACAGAGAGAUUAAAUAACUUGACCAAGAUCACACAGCUAUAAUAGUCAAUUGUGGAGCUGGGAUUCAAGCUCUGGUGUCUGCUUUCAGAUUCAUACCCUUACCCAUUACCCUGUACUACCCAUCUGGAAUGUGGAGAACGUGCUGAUAACAUUGCUAAUAAUCAUCUGUCGUUUAUUUCUGACUACUCUCCAAUUUUUUUAAGAGACCUGUAUCUAACCUUUGGUGAUAACUAAACUAUAGGAGAAAACUUGAGUUCUGAUAGUAAGAAACAUUUACAAAAUGGUCUGAAAGUUGAUUUGAAGUCGAAAACCCUUAUAUGUGUUUGUAAAUUCUAGAGAAGAAGUGGCAGCCAGGCAGAUGAGCUCUCUGUUCUGUGCAGAGCUGAUGGUACUCCCUGCCCUGGGGAGCCGGCACUGGCAGCGAUUACAUCACUAAGUCACCCUCCAUACUCAGCUGCUUGCUAAGAAUUAAAUUGCUGGCACCAGAUCUGGUGAGCCUCAUGUUACCAUGGCUUGUUUGUGGAGAGCACAUUAGUGUGAUAUGUUCAGUCUUCAGAAACAGUUAAACAUCAGCUUUAUUACCAAAAAGAUAGUGUAUGCUGGUAUUACUCCUGGUUAUUCGGUUCAGCUCCUCAAGUGAACAGUCCCACACCUAUUUAGCCCAUUGAGUCAAGCUGACCUCCUUUCCCGGUUACGGGUUUGUGGACAGGAGUGACAGGCGGGUUCACUUGCAAGGGAGCCAGAGAGCCGCUCGUGCCUCUGCUGCCCUCUAGAGGCGUGUCAGGCCAAGGCCGCUCAUCUCUGAGCCUUGCCGGCGGAUUGCACCACCAGUCCACCUUUUGUCUCCCUUUUGAAUCUCCACUGAACACCAUUUGUCAAAAGGGUUGAGGCAAAACCACUCUGAGCUUCCAAAACAAUAAUAAGACUUAAUUAGAAUUCCAAGCUAAGCCAUUGAGAGUUGCUGUUUAUAUUGGGGAAGAUGUAACACUUCAGUCCUGUGUUUUUCAGCCCCUACAUCUCAACCAUCAAAGGGAAAUGAGUCAAGGUUGUUUUAAAACUAUAAAUAGAGCUAACACUUACAAAGCAAUUGCCACAUGCCAGGUACUAUUCUAAGCGCCUCGCAUAUGAUGACCUAUUUAAUGAGGUGGGUGGUAUGAGCAUCUCUAUCUUAUAAAUAGGGGAACUGAGGCAAGGGACUGUAAGUAUUUCUCACAGUUCAUGGGUGGUGGAACUGGCUUUGAAGCCCGGUAGUUCUGGCUCCAUGAACUUGGCUUAUAAUCACUUUACUGUACGGCCUCUUUUAUAGCUAUCGAGGCAUGCAUUGCAAGUCCAAUUUUUAGGUAAAGGUUUUGUUAAAAAUCUUUAACCUUAAUCUUGUAAUGAGGAAACAAUUGGCCCAGACCCUUUAAAAAUGUCAAUGACGUAAUAAAUAAAGAAGGAGAAGGAGGAGGAGGAAGGGGAGAAGUAUUUUAGAGCUAUGACAACUAAAUAUAAUUCAUUGUCCAUGGUUAGACCCUGGAUAUAAAGAGACAAAACUACAAACAAUAUUAUUGGGAAAUUAGGAAAAUAUGAAUAUGGGCUAUAUUUUGGAUAAUCAUAUUAAUGUUGCAUUUCUUGAGUAUGACCUCUUAUUGCUGUUAUAUAGCAGUAUGUCCUUGUUCUUAAGUGAUACUUGAACUAUUUAGGGGUAAAAUAUCAUGAUAUCAGCAAAUUACUAUCAGACAAUUCAGGAAAAAAAUAUACCUGAGAAAGAAAGAGAAAGCAAAUGUGGCAAAAUGUAAAAUAAUUAGGAAACUAGGUAAAGGGUAUAUGGUGUUCAUUAUGCUAUUUUUAAAACUUUUUUCUAGGUUUGACAUUUUUAGCAUAAAAAGUAGAGGCAAAAUAAUUACUUAUUUCAGAAUAAGAGGUAGCCAUGGCUACACCCAAGGUAUCUGCCUGGACACCACAAGUGGUACAAAUAAGCAAAGUGUGUUAGUUGGGAAUCCACAGGCAAGCUUUGAAAUCUGUAGACAUAUGUUAUAUGAAAGUGUAUGAGAUAUUACAUCUUAUUUAUUCAUGUUUUUCCAUUAGUACUAGGAAUUACAUGCAUCAUUAUGUAUUUUCAAAAAAGAUCAAGUUUCCAUCCAAUAGAAAAUAAAUAGUGCAAAUUACAAAGUCUUGUAUGAAACUAAAUAAGGUCUAAUUGUAGUCUUGGGAUUAUUCUGUUUUUAUCAUCAACAAAUAAGGCAUUUGUAGGAGAGUGCCUGCCCUAUUUAUUCAGCACUGUGUUCCAGGUACUGAUUUAGUGCUGGGGAUACACCAGUGAGCAAACCAAGAUCUCUGAACUCAUGGUGCUCGCCUUCUGAUGGGACAGAGAGACAAAUAUUAUAGCUCAGUAAACUGCAGAGAAUGUUAGAAAGUGAUUAUUGCCAAAGAAAAGUAGAAAAAUAGAGCAGCAUAGUGGGAAAUUGGGACAGGCAGUUGCAGAGAAGAGGGUUUCAGUUUUAAAGAGGAUCCCCAGGGUAGGUUUCAUCAAAUAUGACCUCAUGGCACCUGGAAGGAAAGUAGAAGAGAACAGAGAAGAACAACCCUAAGGUGACAGCAUGCCCAGAGUAUGGCUAGAGCUGAGUGAGCAAGGGGGAAA